AAGUCGUAACAAGGUUUCCGUAGGUGAACCUGCGGAAGGAUCAUUAACACGUAUCCAACGUUAAACCCCCCGUGAACUUUUAUUGCGAACCGGUAAAUCAUCGCCGAACAGUUUUGAUUCAGGGAUCUCUGCGAAGAGAGCGGUUGUAGCGCGAGGUAAGUGGCCUGGCAUUCCUCUGCUUGUUAGUGUCUGACAGUGUCACUAGCUCUGUACGAAUGGCGCAGUCACGAUCGCUAGAGGCCGACACGGCCGGCGACCGGGUCACCGGGCAUAGACCCCCCUAUCACCUUUGCAUGAAAACGGGCCUGCGCUUAAUUGUGCGGCCACCAAACUCGAACAACUGUUAACAAUGGAUAUCUUGGUUCUC
rnacentral:misc_RNA from 1 species